CCUACGGGAGUCAGCAGUGGGGAAUAUUGCACAAUGGGGGAAACCCUGAUGCAGCGACGCCGCGUGAGUGAAGAAGUAUUUCGGUACGUAAAACUCUAUCAGCAGGGAAGAAAAUGACGCUACCUGAAUCAUAAGCCCCAGCUAACUACGUGCCAGCAGCCGCGGUAAUACGGCGGGGGGAAGCGUUAACCGGCUGUACUGGGGGGAAAGGGAGCGUAAACGGCAGCGCAAGUCCGGAGUGAAAUCCCAGGGCUUAACCAUGGAACUGCUGUUGAAACUGUGCAGCGAGAGUGCAGGAGAGGUAAGCGGAAUGCCUAGUGUAGCGGUGAAAUGCGUAGAUAUUAGGAGGAACACCAGUGGCGAAGGCGGCAUACCGGACUGUAACUGACGUUGAGGCUCGAAAGCGUGGGGAGCAAACAGGAUUAGAUACCCGAGUAGUC
rnacentral:rRNA from 1 species